rnacentral:tRNA from 1 species
GGAGAGUUGUCCGAGUGGUUUAUGGUGCUGCUCUCGAAAAGCAGUGUGCCUAAUAAGCACCGUGGGUUCGAAUCCCAUGCUCUCCG